rnacentral:rRNA from 1 species
GAUGAACGCUGGCGGCGUGCCUAAUACAUGCAAGUCGAGCGAACAGACGAGGAGCUUGCUCCUCUGACGUUAGCGGCGGACGGGUGAGUAACACGUGGAUAACCUACCUAUAAGACUGGGAUAACUUCGGGAAACCGGAGCUAAUACCGGAUAAUAUAUUGAACCGCAUGGUUCAAUAGUGAAAGACGGUUUUGCUGUCUCUUAUAGAUGGAUCCGCGCCGCAUUAGCUAGUUGGUAAGGUAACGGCUUACCAAGGCAACGAUGCGUAGCCGACCUGAGAGGGUGAUCGGCCACACUGGAACUGAGACACGGUCCAGACUCCUACGGGAGGCAGCAGUAGGGAAUCUUCCGCAAAGGGCGAAAGCCUGACGGAGCAACGCCGCGUGAGUGAUGAAGGUCUUCGGAUCGUAAAACUCUGUUAUUAGGGAAGAACAAAUGUGUAAGUAACUAUGCACGUCUUGACGGUACCUAAUCAGAAAGCCACGGCUAACUACGUG